CUACCUAGAGUUGCCCAGAAUAACACACACAAAACACACGGGUAUAUCCUUGUAUGACCACAGUGUAUAUCCUUGUAUGACCACAG